UUGCCUUCUCUGCAAAAGCCACCGCUGGGUUGCUGAGACCUGCUCUGCCAACCCUGGCUACAGGGGGGGUUUCCUUGAACUUGAAGAAAGGUACAUCAAAACCCACCAGUGUUAACUGCCACGUCAAUUUUGAUGCUAAUAAUGUGCAGAUUAUGACGAAAAUUGCCAAUCAUGCUCUCUGAUGGACCUCCUUUGAAUGUGGAAUUGGAGAAAAGUUCCCCGCACGGAGACCUGCUGUCAAACACUAACAACCCGCUAAGGGAAGUCAUUAGGAGAGACGGAUAAGAGACUCGAUCUGCCUUAAAAUCGAUAUUUCGAUGGCAAAACGCAGGAGUCAAUGGCUUAGCUCUUUAGGGGCUCUGCCACGCCUAGCCAAUGAAAGACUGAGCUUGGAGACCCUGCGAGCCUCCACAUUUUGUCUGUUGAUGUUCUGAGCCCAUGGAGUUUCCUGCGACAAGGGACUGAAGUUCUGCCAUCAUGAGAAGCCAGCCUCUUUCUUUCCUACCCCCACCCCACUCAGGACAGGCUGCAUAAUUUGUCACAUCAGUGUAAAACAAAU